rnacentral:rRNA from 1 species
AACGAACGCUGGCGGCAGGCCUAACACAUGCAAGUCGAACGCCGUAGCAAUACGGAGUGGCAGACGGGUGAGUAACACGUGGGAACGUACCCUUCGGUUCGGGAUAACUCAGGGAAACUUGAGCUAAUACCGGAUACGUCCGAGAGGAGAAAGAUUUAUUGCCGAGGGAUCGGCCCGCGUCUGAUUAGCUUGUUGGUGAGGUAACGGCUCACCAAGGCGACGAUCAGUAGCUGGUC